GCCAGCCUGGUGUAGUGGUCGGAGCAUUGGACUUUGAAUCUGGAGACCAGGGUUUGAAUCCCAGCUCGGUCA